rnacentral:sRNA from 1 species
GGGCUUGUACUGGUUUCGACGGGGGUUUUGAAGUCGAGGAAGCCAUCCGUGGCCCGGACCACGAUAAAACCGGAUUUUUAAAAUUAAACGCAGACAACGAGUUUGCAGUAGCUGCGUAAUCGCAGCCGUCGGCCCGGGCGCACCCGUACGUCCGGUAACCGGCGUCAUUAUUACGGGAAACGAUGCAGGCAAAGCUUUGAGUCUGUAGGCGUAUUAUGAAGCUACUGAAUCCGGAAGGACGCUGCUCGCCGGUCGGAUGAGGGAAUGUAAAAGGAGUGGCUGUGAUGGGAGAUGCUUCGAGGGAGAGGCUUUCGGACGCGGGUUCGAUUCCCGCCAGGUCCAU